GCCGCUGCCGUCGUCUGCAGAGAUGCUGCUCUACGUCUGCUUUCUCCUGUGUGUCCACAUCUGUCACAGCGCUGCAGGAAUCCCCACAGUCAGCACACAGCAGCACACGGACGCUGUGCUCACCUGUCCUCAUGCUCAGGGAGAUGUAACCUGGAGCCGAGCUAUAGGAGGCACCCGGGUGACUCUUCUCACCGUCAGUAACGGUCAUGUGAGCAGCAGUUCGGAGCGCUUUGGUUCCCGUAAGAACAACGAGCUGCUUAUCAGGAAUGUUGUAGAGUCUGAUACUUCGAUGUAUCUGUGCAAUGAGAGGAAGACAGCCUAUCUGAAUGUGACCACAGACCCCAGCAUGGUGGAUCAAACAGUCACAGGGAGAAAGGACGACCCUGACCAGAAGGUGCCGGCUGCAGGUGCAGACACAGCUCCUCCCUCAGACUUGUGGAAAGUUCCUGUUGGCGUGCUGGCAGGAGCUGCACUGGUGCUGUUGUCCAUGUUGACUCUGAGACUGUGGAGGGCCGAGAAAGCAGCGAGGGACACGAGGGCGGUGCUGAGCGAGGUGGUUUAUGAGGAGAUCGGACACGCUGACGUGGAGCCCGGUCCAACCCCCGAGUCCAAGGUGGAAAACCCGUACUGCUGGUCCGAGGUCAGCGACCAGUCAAACACCUCCACAGCACCUGCUGCUCCUCUGUACAGCAACCUGUGCAGGCCCCAACCUGAAGGACACGACUCCGACACCUGCGUGUAUUACCUUACCCAGAAUCCUCUGCAGAUAGGAAGCAGCUGCCAGAGCUCCUCCUGACUUCUUUAAACCAGUUAUCAUGGGUGAGGGGCGGGUCUGACUGAGACUCCUCCCCUGCGUCCUGCUCCUCUCCGGCUAUCGAAGGACCAUCACCUCCAAAAAUGAACUUUCAUUCAGUCAGACAUGAAGGCAGUGACUGAGACCAUGAACCAAUCAGGAAGCAGUUUACUGAGAUCAGCUCUUUCCUCAGCGACUUCUAUUCAAUCAGAACACAGGAGCCCCUCCCACACGCCCUGGAGAGGCCACUUCCAUCUUUUAUAUACAGUCUAAUUAUUUUUACUUUGCUGAAUCAAUUUAUGUACGAAACGUCUUAAAAGAUGAUGAACAGGCUGGAACAGCAGGUGCAGAUCUUUAAUAUUGUGUGUGAAUUUAUAAAAGUGAUUUUUAAAUAAUUGAUGUCAGUUUAUUUCAGAAUCACUGCUCCUCGGAAAGCAAAUAAACAUAUUCCAGUGUUUGCAAACAUGUUCAUGCAGCUGAUAAUAAACUAAAUCAGCAAGAAAUAUUCAUGCUUUAGCUCACAAGUUUUUUC
ensembl:lncRNA